rnacentral:lncRNA from 1 species
AUGAGCAGGCAACUGCAGACACAGGAUAACCAGGAAAUGGAAAGCAAAGCCCCAAGAACUCCGUCUUGGAGCUCCAUAACAACAGUUAUAGCAACACCGCAAAUUAAGGAAAGCAAAGCUCUCAAAACUCCAUCUUGGCGUUCCCCAGUACAGCUGGCGCAACACCACGGAUUAAGGUGGGGAUAGAUUUUUUUAUGUGAAGUAUUCACUGUGUUUACUUUGUUGACCGUGACACGUGUACCAUUCCCCCAGAGGAUUCUCUCCAUCCUAUUUCUCUGUGAUUGAGUGAUUUUCUCCACAGUCUUACAGAAUCAGAACUCCUCCGUCCGCUGGGAAGUCUGUGCCCUGGGGGAAGAGUACCCUGGAGCUUGACCUGGGGGAAGAGUACCCUGGAUCUUGACCUGGGGGAGAGUACCCUGGAGCUUGACCUGGGGGAAGAGUACCCUGGAGCUUGACCUGGAGGAAGAGCACACUGGAGCUUGACCUGGGGGGAGAGCACACUGGAGCUUGACUGAGAAGAGCACACU